GUAGUAGGCGUCCAUGGCAGCGGCCGGCGACUCGCAGGCCUGGAGGAGAGCUUAACACAGAACAAGUGUUCAGUGAAUAUGAACUUUUUUGCCUGAAUGAACGGAAAUCUUCAGAGUUGUCUUAUAGGAGGAUACUACGAUCAUCCCCGUCUUGCAGAAAAGGCAACUAAGGCUGAGAAGAGGCCAGGAGCCUUGACGAAAGGCACACAGGAAGAGCAGAGCUGGGACUCUAACCCUGAACGUUUGAGUAAAAUCUGUGAUGUUCUUCUGCUCCACAACCACCUCGUCUCACUCAUCUGACUUCCCUUGUGCUGAAUAUCCUGUUGGAAACAGAGGCCUCUUCAACGAUGAAAACUUGCUGCCCUUCUUAUGUUUGAAGAAACGUCUCCUGAAUAUUUGUAUUCAUGAUCCUACAAUCUUAUUUUCUGUAAUUUUUACAGCAACCAGUCAGGUCAUUGUCAUUAUACACCAUUUUAUAAUGAAGAAAUCAAAGCUCAGAGAGGUUGAGCACUUGCCUAAAGACACACAGCAAAAACACAGCAGAGCUGGCAUUCAAGUCUGGAUCUGGCUGUAAAGCCCAUGCAGGUCUGGCUUUGCAGACACGUGGCUUUCCAGGGUGUCUGAGGGACCGCUCUGGACUCACAUGGCUAGGAAGUGGUAAAGCAGAAACUGGGCCAGGACUUAGGAUGCCACAUCCAGUUUUCCUCCCCGCCAAUGCAGCAUGGCAGCCUGGAAGCCUGGUGGGCAGAAGGAAGGGAUGAGGGCUAGGACUGAACACAGGGUGUGAUUGCCUUGAGAGCCAGGGAUUGGCAAGCUGGGAGGUAUCCUCUAAGACUGUGUGUGUGUGUGUGCAUGUGUGUUUGUGUGUAAAAUACUAAGGCCUGAGCAUUGAUGUCCUCUUACUCCACCUCCACCCCACCCCGCUGUGGAUCAGAGUAAUUGUGAAGGGAGGGUGAGGGGCAGAGAAGCUGGAAAAAUUGCCUCAUUUAAUAUGGGAAAGGCUGCAGAGCUCAUGGGAAGCAGGAAAAAGUACAGCAAGGGGAAGGUGCAGGCUGGGGUUGUGGGAGUGAAGAAGAGACUUGGGAGGGCACCUGCCAUCCUCGGUGCCUGGGGGGGAGGGAGGACAGUCUCUAAGGUGUUUCUCCGUGUUAUCUGUGAAUAUGUAAAUUAUAAUAUGUAACGAAUAGAUAAAUAUAAUAGUCCUUUUCUUGUGAAUCUGCAGUGAACAUUUGAAUGAAAUUUCAAGCGACUUCUGGAUGUUGUUUUUUGGUUUGUGGCUCAUGUCUGGAGGGGCUAUGCACUGGCUUGACUUUCAAG
rnacentral:lncRNA from 10 species